rnacentral:rRNA from 1 species
CGAACGGGUGAGUAAUGCGUGACCAACCUGCCCCAUGCUCCAGAAUAGCUCUUGGAAACGGGUGGUAAUGCUGGAUGCUCCAACUUGACGCAUGUCUUGUUGGGAAAGNGUUUAGUGGCAUGGGAUGGGGUCGCGUCCUAUCAGCUUGUAGGCGGGGUAAUGGCCCACCUAGGCUUCGACGGGUAGCCGGCCUGAGAGGGCGGACGGCCACAUUGGGACUGAGAUACGGCCCAGACUCCUACGGGAGGCAGCAGUC